UAUAUCCAUAAGUAAUGAGUUUUGUUAUAAUAUUUUGUUGCCUAUAUACAUCACGAAGAAUGGAGAAUCAUCGAUUCUUAAAACGAGGAUCAAAGCAGAAUCAGAUGUGGGAGCGUAGGCGCGGCGCGGGGGUCGCACCGACCACUUCCGCCACUUUGACAAACAGCCCUCGUCCUCGAUAAUGGAGGGUUAUGAGUACCGGUCACUCGUUGAAAGGAUUUCAUGAAAAUAUCUGUUUUUACACGUUCAUAAUUAUAUGUAUGAAGCAGUAUUUUUCUUUCCCAAAGUACAGAAUUAAAUCCAAA